GGUUGAAAGUUCUGGCGGUGCAGGAUGAACCCGCGGCCUAUCAGCUUGUUGGUGGGGUAGUGGCCUACCAAGGCGACGACGGGUAGCCGGCCUGAGAGGGUGACCGGCCACACUGGGACUGAGACACGGCCCAGACUCCUACGGGAGGCAGCAGUGGGGAAUAUUGCACAAUGGGCGCAAGCCUGAUGCAGCGACGCCGCGUGAGGGAUGACGGCCUUCGGGUUGUAAACCUCUUUCGCCAGGGACGAAGCGCAAGUGACGGUACCUGGAUAAGAAGCACCGGCUAACUACGUGCCAGCAGCCGCGGUAAUACGUAGGGUGCGAGCGUUGUCCGGAUUUAUUGGGCGUAAAGAGCUCGUAGGCGGUUUGUCGCGUCGGCCGUGAAAUCUCCACGCUUAACGUGGAGCGUGCGGUCGAUACGGGCAGACUUGAGUUCGGUAGGGGAGACUGGAAUUCCUGGUGUAGCGGUGAAAUGCGCAGAUAUCAGGAGGAACACCGGUGGCGAAGGCGGGUCUCUGGGCCGAUA
rnacentral:rRNA from 1 species